GUUGAAUCCAUACGAUGGAAUGUUAGCAGACAAUAAAAAGAAAAUGAACUAUUGAUACCCCCUACUACACAGCAGAAGCUCUGAAUUGUGUUCCUGAAUGAAAGAAGUCAGAUUCUUCAGGAGGGAUUCCAGAGCAAGGCACUCUCAUCACAGGAGAUGACAGCUCCAUGUGCGUGACUGCCCCGGAAGACCAUCUGGUAGCACAAGAUGCGGCGGUGGAACACAGUGAUAUUGAUAAUCCUGACCCUGGAGAUGAAAAGAUGGGCCAGGAGUCCAGUUUCUGGAAGGCCAAGAAUCGAAGUAGCAAGCUGCAGCCGUUUUCCAGACAAGCAGGAUGUGGGGUUGCAGAAGAAUUCAGGACUGGAGAGGCUAACUCCAUAAGCAGGGGCUGUCACGAUUCCCAUCUCCUUCAAUAAACCUCUCUCUUUUCAUAUUGUACUGUUCCAUGUUAUAUGUAACUGUUUUAAAGCUACAUACUGGACAAAAGGUGGAA
rnacentral:lncRNA from 1 species